UCUGGUGGCGAUAGCGCAGUGGACACACCUGUUCCCAUACCGAACACAGAAGUUAAGCACUGUAGUGGCGAAAAUACCGAGAGGGAAGAUAGCGAGCUGCCGGGC
rnacentral:rRNA from 1 species